GUAUGAUGUACCCUAAGUUCAGCCACAGUGAAGACAGCAGUACGCCUACCAAGAUCUCUGGAGCUUAUGGAUCUGAUUCAGAAAAUCAUCAAGCUGAAAGCAAAAUAGAAAAUGCUUCAAGACUCAUCCGUAUUGGUGACUCUCUGUAGCCUCUUUGUUCUGGUUUACCAGAUCGUACUGUAUGAUGGUGCCAUGACAGUACACCACCCUCCUGUCCCUCUAGCAAGGAGAUAUCCCAUGGGAACUUCCAUGCUGUCCCACUUCCUGCCUAAGUACCUGGAACUGAAGGGCUACAAGAUGACGAAGCUAAAAGCUGACAGUUACAGAUCCCUGAGUCACCACAUGGAGAAGAAACACCAAGGAGAGCCUCCUGGCUUCACUGGAUUAAGAAAUGAGCAAAAAAUAAACUUGUAUCAGCUGCAGAGAUCUGGAGUUUGUUGUAGCGCUCUAUCCUUACUAACAGGCUAGCACAAUAAUAUUAGGUUACACCAAUUGACAUGCUUAAAAAA